GAGGCUGCGCUCACGCCGCCGGUCUGCGACUUCCGGAUACCAGCCUCGAGGGGCGGGGCUUCGGAUUGACGGCUCGCGCCCGCCGGUCCCUUCCCCGCAGUCGCGCUGGCCCCGCCUCCAGGCUGCCCGGAGAGUGAACUCCCUGACACAAGGGGCCAUAUAUCUUCCAGCCCACAACAAGACCCAGCGCAAGACUGGUACAAGGCAGGCUUCAGCAGUGUUUGUUAAAUGGAAAGACUUUGAGGAUCUACAACAAAAUUAAUGGUGGUUAAAUCUGGAUCAGUGGUACCCAAACUUUGACCAACAUCAGAAUCACUGGGAGGGCUUGUUAAAACACCAAUUGCUGAGCCCCAAGCCCAGAGUUGUGUUUCAGUAAGUCUGGUGUAGGGCCCAGGAAUUUGCAUUUCUAACAAGUGCUCGAGUGAUGAUGAUGAUGAUGAUGAUGAUGAUGAUGAAGCUUCUGCUGCUGCUGCUAGUCCAGGGAGAAGAUGGCUGUCUGUGAACCAGGAAGCAGACCCUCAUCAGACACCAAAUCUGUGGGUGCAUUGAUCUUGGACAUCCCAGCCUUCAGAACUGUGAGAAAUAAAUUUCUGUUGUUUAUAAGCCACCCAGUCUAUGAUAUUCUGUUAUAGCAGCCCCAACGGACUAAGACAGUAUUUUUUCUUUUUUGUUGCUACAAUAAAUGACACC